UCAAUUGGAAUCAUUUUGGACCUCUUUGUAUUGCAUCAUGGGCCUGCACUCGUGCCAUCAAAAUUGCUAAAAUUGGACAAAAUUUUAAGUGUGCAAAUAUCAUUCAUUCAUGCUAUAAAUACAUGCUCUCUAUGCUCAUUUGAAUCACACCUUGCGUGACAGCUUUGCCCCCCAUUGAAACCCUCUCAUUCCAAAGGAAAACCUGAUAAAUUUCAAUUUGAAAUUUGAGUUUGAAUCUCAACUGUUGGAGAUUCAAGAACUCCGGGAUCCAAAGCCUUGC
rnacentral:lncRNA from 1 species